ACGCGAGGAACCUUACCAGGUCUUGACAUCCCAUUGACCGCUAUGGAGACAUAGCUUUCCCUUCGGGGACAGUGGUGACAGGUGGUGCAUGGUUGUCGUCAGCUCGUGUCGUGAGAUGUUGGGUUAAGUCCCGCAACGAGCGCAACCCUUGAUCUUAGUUGCCAGCAUUAAGUUGGGCACUCUAAGGUGACUGCCGGUGACAAACCGGAGGAAGGUGGGGAUGACGUCAAAUCAUCAUGCCCCUUAUGACCUGGGCUACACACGUGCUACAAUGGAUGGUACAAAGGGCAGCAAAGCGGCGACGCCUAGCAAAUCCCAUAAAACCAUUCUCAGUUCGGAUUGUAGGCUGCAACUCGCCUACAUGAAGCUGGAAUCGCUAGUAAUCGCGGAUCAGCAUGCCGCGGUGAAUACGUUCCCGGGCCUUGCACACACCGCCCGU
rnacentral:rRNA from 1 species